CACAGCAGAUUUCUUUUGUUCCCCCUCCCAUUUUUCAGAGUGGAGUGUUGCAUGCACUAUAGUAUGGAUGCGGAGGUCAGAGGACUUACAGGAAUUGGUUCUGUCUUUCUAUCAUGCGAGUCCCAGGCAUGGAACUCAGGUCCUCAGCCUUGACAUCAAGCACCCUUAUCUACUGAGUCAUCUCACUGGCCCCAUCACUUCAGAUUUCUGUAGCACCCUCAAUGUCCCAGCACCUUCAAGACCCCGUUCUGAAAAUUGUUUUACAUUUGCCUGUUUCCAUAGGUGACUGUCUUCCUUGGCCUACUCACAAAAUAUGGCCUCUAGCCAUACUUUGCCUUCUCCCGUUCCUACUGUGCUUGUUCCUGUGAGAUGUGUUUAUCUGGAUGUGUGUUCUUGUUCUUCCUUGUGGGUGAAUAACAUCACAGCAGGUCUUUUGGACAUCGUCUUGUGUGGAUGCAUUUUAUAAUAAAACAUGGUCAUUUCCAAGAUCCCAUCUUGCAGUCGCCGACAUGGCAGAAUGACUUUCUGACCCUGCGGCACCUUUCACUGCCAUAUGAAAUCUCACCUGGGGAUGCCUUUCACAUCUUGGGACAAGUGCAUGAUCUCCGAGCUAAGGAGCCAACAGAAGGAGCAGAUUGAACGAUGCGAGCACGUUCACACACAUUUCAGCUGCUUGGUCUCCAACAUCUUAAGUGUGUGGUUUAAAGAUCGCAGCUAGCUAGGUUGUGGCUGUGGAAACAGGAAAAGCAAGACUGAGAGGAGCACGGUCUGUUCUUUAAAAACAAAACAGGACAAGAGCCAGGAUAUGAAAGCCCAGUUCUCCUCACCCAGAGGCUGCUUAACUCAGAAGCCUAAGGCUCUCUUUUUCUCCAUGAGCUGAAUAUCUACAUUGUUAAUGAUGACAUGAGAAAGAAACCUCAUGCUUGAAUGGACUGAAAUGCAGUAGCUUUGAUUGACAAAUAAUAGAAAAGGUACACAUGUGUGCAGUGCAAAUUCAAAACCCUCCCAGGGCCCCAGGGAGAUGAUUUUCACACCAUAAUUUUUUUGUGUGAAUACUAUUAAUGAUAAUAGUAUUUCAGUUCCAUUGAAACUUAGAGGAUUAAAGUCUUGGUAGAGUCUCCCAACCAGCUUCCACUUCUGACGCUGACAUGGGUGUUGAGACUGUAUGAUUGCCUCCAGGUAGAAGACUUCUAUUUCAGUUAACACUUGCUGAACUGUUCUGGGCCCUAUGACAGAGCAGCCAAGCCAUGGUUUCAGUCAAGUCAAACAGCUGAGCUUGGAUAUUGACCAAUUGGAUAUUGAUAUUGACCAAUAUUAAAAAAAGAAA